AGCCACCUCGCGCCGUCAAGCGUGAUUGCGUUUUCGCCACAUGGAGGGCGGGGAGGAGCGUUUUACGACACCUUGGGAAGGCAAUAUACGGCAGUAGGAGGGGCGAGAAAGAAGGAGAAAAAGAAUAGGAGCAAGAGCAACUUUCAAAAAUGAGUGACAGAAAGGCAGGAAGUGGGAGGUGGCGACCGCCCGUAACAUUUGACUGUAAUGAUUGCCGUUUAUUGCAGACCCGCUAUUUUUAGGCACUGUGAGAGACAUUUUACAUUUUAUGACCUCCUUACUUCAACAAUCUCAUAAGGCAGUAUUAUCCUCUCUUUACAGGUGGUUGAACUGAGACCCAAAGAGGUUGAACAACUUGCCAAAGUCUCGCAAGAAGAAAGUCAAAGCGUCAAGAUUUGAAUUCAGGUCUAAAAACUCAAAAGCAAACCCGAGAGCCAGAAGGAGGCUUCUGAGAUACUGGUAGUGACUCCCAGAGUAGGAUUGCUAAAAGGUAAAAGGUCUUUGAACAUAAUUUUGAAAAGAAAAAAUAAUGGAAUCAUUUUCCAUAACCAUAAUAUACUAUUUUCAUGUCUGCUAAUGUACUCUUACUUUUUUAAGCUAUUACAUUUAAGUCUGCCAUCCAUUUAAGCUAAUUUUUGUAGAUGGUAAGAGGUAGAGGCCCAACUUCAUUCUUUUGCAUGUGGAUAUUCAGUUAUCCCGGCACCAUUUGUUGAAAUUCUUGCCCCUUUAGAUGUUUUGGGAAAUUUGUGAAGAACCAAUUGGCUACAAAUGUGAGGGUUUAUUUCUGCACUCUCAAUUCUAUUCUGUUUGAUCUGUAUGUCUGUCCUUAUGCUAGCACCACAGUGUUUUGAUUACUGUAGCUUUGUAGCAAGUUCCCAAAUCAGGAUGUGUGUGUCCUCCAGCUUCAUUCUUCUCUUUCAAGAUGGUUUUGGCUAUUCUUGGUCAAUUUUUUGUAGCAACAACAAGAAAAAAAUGGAUGUAUUGAUCCAUUGCUUUUAAUCAGAUUUCGUAUCGUUCCUACAAACCUCUAUAAUGGAAUUCUAAGGAGGGUGUUUUAGGAUGAGGUGUUUGGGAAAACAUGUUUUAAUUUGGGAAAGGGACCAUGAUGCUUUAAACCUUUGGAAUCUGACUUGUUUCAGAGGACUCUAAAGUUUUAUUUUCUUUCACAAAUACAAUUUGUUGUAUAACAUUAGAACACAAGAUUUGUGGGACUUGAGCAGUAGUACAGAAUUUUAGAUCAUUAACCAUGUGGUCCUUGAAAUCAAGACAAAGCUGUGUUUCAGGAACCCUCAUUAUGUUAGCAAAUCAGCACAAGAAAUAGGUGUAAAUAUCUUCAAGUCUUGACCUUGAUUGGAGUCGUAUUUUGCUCAGUAUCAGUAAUUAUAUAUAUAACAUAUGCAUUUGAUGAUUUGAAACUGUUUUAAUAAUAUUUUUUGAAGUGAACAUUGAUACCAUAAAGUCCUUUGUUGGGUUUUUUUGUUGUUGUUGUUGUUAGUUUUUUUUUAUUUAAUCUAUUUAGUUGGGUAAAUGUACUUGGGUACAUGGGGCUCAAACUCACAAAUCACAUGCUCUUCUGACU